GGCCUAAGGCCCAGGAAGAAAGGAAAUAGAAAAACCAGGGACAACAGCAGCAGGAGCCAGUCUCAUCCAAUGAAACAUCUUUAUUCUUGAAUCAUCUGUUGGAUCAGCUUUUUGUUGCUCAGAGUGCUGACACCAGGCAAACCAUGACUGUUUUGUGGGCCAGUGGACGAGAUGGCCAUUUUCAGAGGGGAAAGAACUCUGCACUGGCUCCUCCCACUGGCUCAUUCCCUGGGUACUGCCAUGGGAUUUAUGUUGUCUGAGCACAGGAUUGUACACGAAGAAGAUUAAUUUAUGAACUAGAAGAAAUGGAACAAAGGACUUUUUUUUUUUUAACUAACUCUGAAUACUUCAGUUUUACAAUGGCUGUUAAAGAUGGUAGUGGCUUUCCAGGGAAUUCUGAUGAAAGGAACAUAAAUCAUCAAGUGAUAAAAAGAACUCAGCAGCCACUGAAGUUUCUGCUCAGAAUGUGUGAUUAUGGAUGUUUAUUGAGAAUCGAUAAACUGUGCCUAGAUAGUUUGUGUUUUUUAGAAUUGACUGACCUGAGAAGAAAUGAGACUUGCAAAUUCCAGAACCAUUAAAGCGAAGGUAUAAACAUUAGCACACUUUUGUAGUACUGAGGUAGGUAUUUCUGUCAUGAUAGUUGGAUGGCUUCUAUGGGACUUCUAAGAUGUUAGGUGUGCUUUCAGAGGAUGUUGCUGGGAGGUUUUAGGGGAAUUGUACAAAUACAUAGUCAGCUUAAAUCUGUUAGACUCAUUAAUUAAUAUCAGUUAUUCUCAUGUGGUAGUCAUAGCUUCAAUUGAGAAUGACUAUACCUCAUCUGUCUCCUUCAGGCACAAUUUUAUCUCCAUUUUUGGAAGGAUGUAAGUUAGGCAGCUUAAAAAAAACUGUUAGGAAAGCUCAGAGAUUUGGUUGCUAUGCAGCAGUAUAAAAUGUACCUAGCCAUUUAGUGCUGUAAUUAAUUUACCUGUGGAAUAAGAGUAGUAAAAUUAAAAUUAAAAUUGUAUUUUUUUAGGAACUUCUAAU